rnacentral:rRNA from 1 species
GACGAACGCUGGCGGCGUGCUUAACACAUGCAAGUCGAACGGUAAGGCCCUUCGGGGUACACGAGUGGCGAACGGGUGAGUAACACGUGGGAGAUCUGCCCUGCACUUCGGGAUAAGCCUGGGAAACUGGGUCUAAUACCGGAUAGGACUCCGGACUGCAUGGUCUGGGGUGGAAAGCUUUUGCGGUGUGGGAUGGGCCCGCGGCCUACCAGCUUGUUGGUGGGGUGAUGGCCUACCAAGGCGACGACGGGUAGCCGGCCUGAGAGGGUGACCGGCCACACUGGGACUGAGAUACGGCCCAGACUCCUACGGGAGGCAGCAGUGGGGAAUAUUGCACAAUGGGCGCAAGCCUGAUGCAGCGACGCCGCGUGAGGGAUGACGGCCUUCGGGUUGUAAACCUCUUUCAGCAUCGACGAAGCGAAAGUGACGGUAGGUGCAGAAGAAGGACCGGCCAACUACGUGCCAGCCGCCGCGGUAA